UACGGGGGGGGUAAGCGUUGUUCGGAAUUACUGGGCGUAAAGGGCUCGUAGGCGGCCAACUAAGUCAGACGUGAAAUCCCUCAGCUUAACUGGGGAACUGCGUCUGAUACUGGAUGGCUUGGAUUUGGAAGAGGAAUGCGGAAUUCCAGGUGUAGCGGUGAAAUGCGUAGAUAUCUGGAGGAACACCGGUGGCGAAGGCGGCGACCUGGGUAGAUACUGACGCUGAGGCGCGAAAGCGUGGGGAGCAAACAGG
rnacentral:rRNA from 1 species